rnacentral:rRNA from 1 species
AUGAACGCUGGCGGCGUGCUUAACACAUGCAAGUCGCACGGGAAAUAUUUCAUUGAGACUUCGGUGGAUUUGAUUUAUUUCUAGUGGCGGACGGGUGAGUAACGCGUGGGUAACCUGCCUUAUACAGGGGGAUAACAGUCAGAAAUGGCUGCUAAUACCGCAUAAGCGCACAGAGCUGCAUGGCUCAGUGUGAAAAACUCCGGUGGUAUAAGAUGGACCCGCGUUGGAUUAGCUAGUUGGUGGGGUAACGGCCCACCAAGGCGACGAUCCAUAGCCGGCCUGAGAGGGUGAACGGCCACAUUGGGACUGAGACACGGCCCAGACUCCUACGGGAGGCAGCAGUGGGGAAUAUUGCACAAUGGGGGAAACCCUGAUGCAGCGACGCCGCGUGAAGGAAGAAGUAUCUCGGUAUGUAAACUUCUAUCAGCAGGGAAGAUAGUGACGGUACCUGACUAAGAAGCCCCGGCUAACUACGUG